GACGAACGCUGGCGGCGUGCCUAAUACAUGCAAGUAGAACGCUGAAGAGAGGAGCUUGCUCUUCUUGGAUGAGUUGCGAACGGGUGAGUAACGCGUAGGUAACCUGCCUUGUAGCGGGGGAUAACUAUUGGAAACGAUAGCUAAUACCGCAUAACAAUGGAUGACACAUGUCAUUUAUUUGAAAGGGGCAAUUGCUCCACUACAAGAUGGACCUGCGUUGUAUUAGCUAGUAGGUGAGGUAAUGGCUCACCUAGGCGACGAUACAUAGCCGACCUGAGAGGGUGAUCGGCCACACUGGGACUGAGACACGGCCCAGACUCCUACGGGAGGCAGCAGUAGGGAAUCUUCGGCAAUGGGGGCAACCCUGACCGAGCAACGCCGCGUGAGUGAAGAAGGUUUUCGGAUCGUAAAGCUCUGUUGUAAGUCAAGAACGGGUGUGAGAGUGGAAAGUUCACACUGUGACGGUAGCUUACCAGAAAGGGACGGCUAACUACGUGCCAGCAGCCGCGGUAAUACGUAGGUCCCGAGCGUUGUCCGGAUUUAUUGGGCGUAAAGCGAGCGCAGGCGGUUUGAUAAGUCUGAAGUUAAAGGCUGUGGCUCAACCAUAGUUCGCUUUGGAAACUGUCAAACUUGAGUGCAGAAGGGGAGAGUGGAAUUCCAUGUGUAGCGGUGAAAUGCGUAGAUAUAUGGAGGAACACCGGUGGCGAAAGCGGCUCUCUGGUCUGUAACUGACGCUGAGGCUCGAAAGCGUGGGGAGCGAACAGGAUUAGAUACCCUGGUAGUCCACGCCGUAAACGAUGAGUGCUAGGUGUUGGAUCCUUUCCGGGAUUCAGUGCCGCAGCUAACGCAUUAAGCACUCCGCCUGGGGAGUACGACCGCAAGGUUGAAACUCAAAGGAAUUGACGGGGGCCCGCACAAGCGGUGGAGCAUGUGGUUUAAUUCGAAGCAACGCGAAGAACCUUACCAGGUCUUGACAUCCCGAUGCUAUUUCUAGAGAUAGAAAGUUACUUCGGUACAUCGGUGACAGGUGGUGCAUGGUUGUCGUCAGCUCGUGUCGUGAGAUGUUGGGUUAAGUCCCGCAACGAGCGCAACCCCUAUUGUUAGUUGCCAUCAUUCAGUUGGGCACUCUAGCGAGACUGCCGGUAAUAAACCGGAGGAAGGUGGGGAUGACGUCAAAUCAUCAUGCCCCUUAUGACCUGGGCUACACACGUGCUACAAUGGUUGGUACAACGAGUUGCGAGUCGGUGACGGCGAGCUAAUCUCUUAAAGCCAAUCUCAGUUCGGAUUGUAGGCUGCAACUCGCCUACAUGAAGUCGGAAUCGCUAGUAAUCGCGGAUCAGCACGCCGCGGUGAAUACGUUCCCGGGCCUUGUACACACCGCCCGUCACACCACGAGAGUUUGUAACACCCGAAGUCGGUGAGGUAACCUUUUGGAGCCAGCCGCCUAAGGUGGGAC
rnacentral:rRNA from 1 species